rnacentral:misc_RNA from 1 species
AUUAUACCCUCCUCUUCCCUCCAAAAUCACAGCUUACCGCUUCCCCGCCGCCAUCAAAACCACAGCCUCAAACCCUAUUCUCCACUCUCACUUCUCCGUCUUCUCCUCUCAACUCCAAGCUUGUCUUGCUCUCCCAGCUCACGAGACUCACCAAGCUCGACCAUGGCCUUCGCCGCCAGCUGACAGAGUCUGGAGCCGUAUCCGCUGUUCUCAACUGUGUCAGCUCGCCGGAGUCGGUCCUCCAAGAGAAAGCCCUCUCUCUAUUACUCAAUCUCUCUCUCGACGAUGAUAAUAAGGUGGGUCUAGUGGCGGAAGGUGCAAUUGGCCGGGUCGUCACAGUUCUGCGGGUUGGAUCGCCGGAUAGCCGUGCCAUAGGUUGCACUAUCUUGACCAGUCUGGCAGUCGUAGAAGUAAACAAAGCGACAAUUGGGGCGUAUCCAAAUGCAAUUCAAGCGUUGGUCACGCUACUAAAUUAUGGGAAUGGUAGAGAGGUGAAAGAAGCAGCAACAACGUUGUAUGCUAUCUGUUCAUUUCCGGAU